rnacentral:ncRNA from 1 species
AUAAAAACGGUGACGAGGAGUAGUAAUGUCCGCUGUUGUUCAAAGAGAGCUAACGGUCGGUGGGAGUUAGUCAUCAGCAACAUGAACUCGCCUCUGAGUUGCAAAUAUGAAUUGAGUAAUAUUUGCCGGCUCGACCCACGUUACGGGCUAAUCAAGUGAAUAUAUUUCGGCAUUAUAUGCUGAUAUAUAUUAAAUUGGGUGGUACCGCGGGAGACAAUCCUCUCGUCCCAAAU